GGUUAGACGAAAAAUCCAGAUAGAAUGAGUGUUACCUUUAGUUAACGUUUAAUUUUCAAAGUUUUCUUAGCUUUUUUGGUGGGUGAAAUCAGUAUAAAAAGCUUCCUUUUCUUUAAAAAUUGACAGGAACUAAAAAACUUUGGUUUAAAACCAGGAUUAGAUACCCUGUUAUUCUAAGCUAUGUUUAAACAGGGUAGUAAAAGUUGUUCUUCAAACCCAAAGAUUUUGGCGGCACUUUAUCCAAAUAGAGGAGCUUGCCCUUUAAUCGAUAAUCCUCGUUAUAUCUUUCCUCCGUUUGUCAAGCUUGUAUACCGCCGUUGUCAGAUUACUUUUAGAGAAUGUUUUCAAGUUAGAAUACUCUACUACUUCAGGUCAAGGUGCAGUUUAUACGGGGGUAGAGGUGAGCUACAGUUUUUUCUAGAAAAUACGAAUUCUAAGUUUUGAAACUAGUUGAAGGUGGAUUUAUUAGUAAAGUAAUUUAAGUAAAAUUACUUGAAUAAGGCAAUAAAGUGUGUACAUAUCCCCCGUCACUCUC
rnacentral:rRNA from 1 species